GCCAUUGUCCCCUCCGGGAGAAGUGGUUUGGCACUCAAUACAACGUGGAGGACGUCCAGCAGGAGUGGAUGGAUCGGUGGACCGGAAACCUGGAGCUCAGCAGUGAACUCUCACUUCCUGUCGAAAACAAGUUCAUUGCCACUGACUUCACCCUGAAGCCGUCUGACCGCCCAGACACUGAGUUUCCUGUCCGGAUAGCCGAGAGCGACAGGGGCUGCCUGUGGUACAAGAAGGACGACAAAUUCAAAAUUCCUAAAGGUGUGUGUGUGUGUGUGUGUGUGUGUGUGU